GACGAACGCUGGCGGCGUGCCUAAUACAUGCAAGUCGAGCGAGCGGAACCAACAGAUUUACUUCGGUAAUGACGUUGGGAAAGCGAGCGGCGGAUGGGUGAGUAACACGUGGGGAACCUGCCCCUAAGUCUGGGAUACCAUUUGGAAACAGGUGCUAAUACCGGAUAAUAAAGCAGAUCGCAUGAUCAGCUUUUGAAAGGCGGCGUAAGCUGUCGCUAAGGGAUGGCCCCGCGGUGCAUUAGCUAGUUGGUAAGGUAACGGCUUACCAAGGCAAUGACGCAUAGCCGAGUUGAGAGACUGAUCGGCCACAUUGGGACUGAGACACGGCCCAAACUCCUACGGGAGGCAGCAGUAGGGAAUCUUCCACAAUGGACGAAAGUCUGAUGGAGCAACGCCGCGUGAGUGAAGAAGGGUUUCGGCUCGUAAAGCUCUGUUGGUAGUGAAGAAAGAUAGAGGUAGUAACUGGCCUUUAUUUGACGGUAAUUACUUAGAAAGUCACGGCUAACUAC
rnacentral:rRNA from 1 species